rfam:Triticum aestivum genome assembly, contig: Triticum_aestivum_CS42_TGACv1_scaffold_472257_6AL
GGCCCAAUGGUCCUUCUCUGGUAGCUCCAGGCAUUGACCAGGGGAUCUAUAAUUGGGCCAAGAAUCAGUUUUCACUCAUUGAUAGGAACCUGGAACUUCAUUUUGUUAGUCUGCGGAGCCUAUUAUUGUGAUUAAAUUG